UAUGGUUGCAGACUCAAAAGUCCAAAUCGAAACUUGAUUGGAAAGCUAGGUUUAACAUUUGCUUGGGAAUAGCUACGGGAUUGGUGUAUCUACAUGAGCAUCCCAGGCUGAAGAUGGUUCCCAGUGACAUUAAAUCCACUAAUAUUCUUUUCGAUAGAUACCUUAAGGCUAAAAUAUCAGACUUUGGAUUGGCAACCCUUUACACCGAAGAUGAUCAAUUCAAGUUCAACAAAGUAGAAGUGCCACACGGAUGAUAUAUGGCACCUAAGUAUGUUCGAGCAACUGUGACAUCUAAAGCUGAUAUCUACAGUUUUGGGGUGGUUAUACUUGAAAUUGUUAGCGGAAGGACAAAUGCAGGACACGGACGAGAUAGCCAGGAAAGUGAAUUUCUUUUAGAUACGGCUUAUGAUUUACAGCGAAAAGGAAGGGUGGUGGACUUGGUUGACAAAACCUUGUCUACCAAGUAUGAUGCAAAAAACAAGCCAUCAUCAUCUUCAAUUUAGCAGUAAAGUGCACCAGUAUAUCCCAACUCUGAGGCCUACUAUGUCUGAAGUAGUGAGUGUUCUUGUUGGCGACAAAAAAAAUUGAGGAGAUUUGUCCGCCUGCUCUGAAUGAUAGUCACGUUGCUCAAAUUGAUUCCUCUGCUUCUCUAGAAGUGACCUCGAGAGAGUCCACAUCAUCCAAUUUUAUCCAAGGGGAAGAUGAAACAAAACAUACAGAUAUCUGAAAGUAGACCCUAGAAAAUUUCAAACGAAACGCAGCAAUCUCUCUCUCUAUUUUGCUCCCAGUUUUUGGACUUUGGUAGACUAUUGCCUCCUAACUAGUGUAUCA